AGAUACCCCACUAUGCCUAGCCCUUAACAAAGAUAAUGCUCACACAACAUUAUCCGCCAGAGAACUAUAAGCGAAAAGCUAAAAACUCCAAGGACUUGGCGGUGCUUCAAACCAACCUAGAGGAGCCUGUCCUAUAAUCGAUACCCCACGUUUUACCCCACCGCCCCUAGCCCCCAGCUUAUAUACCGCCGUCGCCAGCUUACCCUAUGAAAGAAGUAAAGUAGGCAAAAUAGUUAAUAACUAAAACGUCAGGUCAAGGUGUAGCAAACGGGGCGGCAGAGAUGGGCUACAUUUUUAAACAAACAUACGAACAGCACAUUGAAAUACAUGCUUGAAGGCGGAUUUAGUAGUCAAAUAGCUAAGAAAAGCUAUCUUAAACACGCUCUGAAGCGCGCACACACCGCCCG
rnacentral:rRNA from 1 species